rnacentral:rRNA from 1 species
CCCAGACUCCUACGGGAGGCAGCAGUGGGGAAUAUUGCACAAUGGGGGAAACCCUGAUGCAGCGACGCCGCGUGAGCGAUGAAGUAUUUCGGUAUGUAAAGCUCUAUCAGCAGGGAAGAAAAUGACGGUACCUGACUAAGAAGCCCCGGCUAACUACGUGCCAGCAGCCGCGGUAAUACGUAGGGGGCAAGCGUUAUCCGGAUUUACUGGGUGUAAAGGGAGCGUAGACGGCAGCGCAAGUCUGGAGUGAAAUGCCGGGGCCCAACCCCGGAACUGCUCUGGAAACUGUGAAGCUGGAGUGCAGGAGAGGUAAGCGGAAUUCCUGGUGUAGCGGUGAAAUGCGUAGAUAUCAGGAGGAACACCGGCGGCGAAGGCGGCUUACUGGACUGUAACUGACGUUGAGGCUCGAAGGCGUGGGGAGCAAACAGGAUUAGAUACCCCCGUACUC